GUGGGGAAUAUUGGACAAUGGGCGCAAGCCUGAUCCAGCAAUGCCGCGUGGGUGAAGAAGGUCUUCGGAUCGUAAAGCCCUUUCGACAGGGACGAUGAUGACGGUACCUGUAGAAGAAGCCCCGGCUAACUUCGUGCCAGCAGCCGCGGUAAUACGAAGGGGGCUAGCGUUACUCGGAAUUACUGGGCGUAAAGGGCGCGUAGGCGGCUCUGUUAGUCAGGCGUGAAAUUCCUGGGCUUAACCUGGGGACUGCGCUUGAUACUGCAGGGCUUGAGGCCGAGAGAGGGUGGUGGAAUUCCCAGUGUAGAGGUGAAAUUCGUAGAUAUUGGGAAGAACACCGGUGGCGAAGGCGACCACCUGGCUCGGUUCUGACGCUGAGGCGCGACAGCGUGGGGAGCAAACAGGAUUAGAUACCCGAGUAGUCC
rnacentral:rRNA from 1 species